rnacentral:rRNA from 1 species
AUACGGGGGGGGCAAGCGUUGUACGGAAUUACUGGGCGUAAAGGGCGUGUAGGCGGCCCUGCAAGUCUUUCGUGAAAUCCCACAGCUCAACUGUGGAACUGCGAGGGAAACUGCAGGACUUGAGUCCGGGAGAGGAGAGUGGAAUUCCCAGUGUAGCGGUGAAAUGCGUAGAUAUUGGGAGGAACACCGGUGGCGAAGGCGGCUCUCUGGACCGGAACUGACGCUGAGGCGCGAAAGCUAGGGGAGCAAACGGGAUUAGAAACCCCAGUAGUCC